CAGCAUUUGGAACAUAAGUCAAUGGGUCAGGUCGGAUCAAGUAUCUACAAAAAGAAACCACAGCUGUAGCUAAAACAACAUGCUGCACACCAGGUCAUAGAAUUUGAAUGUAACCCAAUUUCAGUGUGAUUUACCAAUCUGUCCGGCAGCUUAGGAAGCACUUCCCUUUUAUCACCUGUGCCAAGGGCUUGAAAUGUGAAGGCUGUAUAAAUGGAAAGUGGUAAAUCUGUUGCAUGAGAAGCAUAACUGACGCCACGGUGUUACUCCUGUGCCACACAGAGAAGAAACACUUGCCUUUAAACCCUUGGGAACAGCUGCAAGAAGAUGAAGGAAUGAAAUGCUUGAUGGAGCUCUGCUUUCCUGGAGAUGGCCAAACACCCCCUGCCCAUCAGAAGC